UUCAUUACGAUAUUAUCUUCCAUUAGAUAAUGAAAACGUUUAGUAUCCGCACACAACCGGUUCAAGCAAUAUGGCGAAACCAUCAAAAGAAAAAUCGAUAUCUCACGCUAUAAAACCUCUCCACAUUGUUAUGCAAUUGACUGGACAUUUUUCUCUAGAAAAGAGCACUGGAUUUUUGAAAGUAUGGAAUAUUCAAAUGAAAAUUUUGUGCUUUUUCUGCUGUGCGGUACAUAUCUACGCGUGUCCAAUGGAGAUUGAUAACGUAAACUCAAUAGCGAUGGCCAUAUUUCAAUGUUACAACUAUUUCUGUGUAUUUCACACUCUGAUUUUCAAUUCGAUCUACAAUAAACGUAUUCGCGUGAUCCUCACGGAGAUAAUAAAAGUGAAUCGGUUAUCGGAAUUUAUCACCAAAGAAAAGGUGAAUUAUUUGUUGUCACGACGGCGAAUGAUCAUAUACAUCUCGUUUUGGUACGGAUUUCAAAUUAUCUGCGGUAUGCUGAGUCAUUUUUCCGUUUAUAAUUACGAAAGACGCGAACAGAGCAAGUUUUAUUGUAUGUAUAUUGGGCUGCCAACUAAUUGCUUCAACUUCAACAUGAACUGCCUGCUUCAAUUCAUUUUAGGCGAAAUCAAAGAACGGUCGGCCAAAGUGCACAAUCACGCAGUGUUGUUCCAGGAAAGUGAGAUUUAUGCACUGGUUAAAAAUGUGCCUACAUUUUACCACCAGCUUUUAAACUGCGCCCAAAGCAUUAAAUGCGCUUUUGAAUUUGUUUUACUGAGCAAGAUUGUCAUGUGCACCAUACAUUUGCUUAUCACGGUAUAUUGGUUUACAACUGGAAAGUUUAAAGAACAUUUGGGAGGGAACUUUAUUCUCUUUGGACUAGGCAGUUUCAUUGUACUUAACGUAAUUGACGUAGUGGUGGUUUUAUAUUCCUUUGUGUCAUUUAUUGAUGAGGUAAAUAUACCUACUCUAGAGCAAAACGCGCCAGUAACGAUAUUUGAUAUCUCACUAAAAACGAACCGAUUCAUUUAGGGUUGGUUGAAUUUAUCUGCUUUAUUUCAACAGUAAAGUGACUGCCAGAUAAAUUUAACUGAAACAUGAAGUGCAGGUGCUUAUAGUGUCGCUUAUGACGUUAUAUCAACGCUAAUCAGCGAGCUAUGUUCUGGCAUAUGCAUUUCAAAGUUUGUAUGAAAGAUUAUGAAAAAGAAUCAUAAUUCUUGAGCCAGAUAGAGAUCGGCUACUAGUCGUAUCCAUAAUAACCAAUCUCUAUCUAACCGAGUCAAAUAAGCAGAGACGGAUGUUGUUGGGGGGGCGUAGGUACAAUCUAGGUAUUUUUCAGACUAGAAACUUAGUGUGCCUGAUGCAACACUUAAACUAUGUCAUCGCCCGUGAAAGCUUUGUGAGGCAAAAGCCCUCUUUCCACUGAGAGUGUACGUGGAGGACUUCCGUUUUCACUUAUUUGGAUACUUUCCUUUAGAAUGGUGCUUAAUGCACUCUAUGCUGUCAGUCAUAACAACAUAUUUAAUCAUCUUUUAUCAGUUCCAGAGCUUAGAGAAAAACUAAGCAUUCGAUGGUAGGUAGGUAUGCAGAUGCGUGAGCUUUUCCAAGGAUUUUGACUUCAGGAGUGUAAGAAAAUUGCUCUAACAUAUAAAAUAUUUGCUUUAUUCACUGAAAAGUGCAUGGAUAUUCCUACCAUGUUUAUGGUACCUAUUUGAAAAUUGUUCAACUUAAUUACCAGUACCUAAAGCUAUCAGAGAUGUACUUUUUCUACAUAAAGUAGAUUAUUUAAAAACUUGUGAUUUGAUUAAAAUGGUUAAUAGCUGAGAAGAGAUGAAGUUUAUGUAGUAAGGGAUCGGUAAUUUCGUAUCGUUAGCACUAGGUAAAUAUUGCCUUCUUGAAUUUUGACCUUGAAAAUGGCAAGGUCGUCAGAUAUGCGAGCAACUUCGAGAUCCGUGAUGAUUCCGACACGCGUAAGGUACGAGUAAAAAAGCCUGGAAGCCGAUCUCUCUUAUUAGUUGGUUAGCGUCGAGUUUUUGAACGGAGGCCUGCGCCUUGGCGGGACUUGGAUAAGGACAUUAUUUGAAUACGCGAACACUAGAACUACUUUUAUUCGAGAUGCCUACAUACAAAAUUUCAUGCAAUUCGGUUCAUAACUAACGAAGAUGUCA